rnacentral:rRNA from 1 species
AAUGAACGUUGGCGGCAUGGAUUAGGCAUGCAAGUCGAGCGAGAAGGAAAUCAAAGUUUACUUUGGUUUCCGGAAAGCGGCGAAGGGGAGAGUAACGCGUAGUUAUCUACCCCAAGGCCCGGAAUAGCUGCGGGAAACUGCAGGUAAUGCCGGAUAAUAUCCCCGGAUCAAAGGUGUGAUUCCGCCUUGGGAGGAGACUGCGUUGUACUAGCUUGUUGGUAGGGUAAUGGCCUACCAAGGCUACGAUGCAUAGCGGGCGUGAGAGCGUGGCCCGUCUCACUGGGACUGAAACACUGCCCAGACACCUACGGGUGGCUGCGGUCGAGAAUCUUCGGCAAUGGGCGAAAGCCUGACCGGGCGAUGCCGCGUGCGGGAUGAAGGCCCUCGGGUUGUAAACCGCUGUCGUAGGGGAGAAAGGACCGUUGAAGAGACGGUUUUGAUCUAUCCUAGGAGGAAGUCCGGGCUAAGUUCGUGCCAGCAGCCGCCGUAA